rnacentral:siRNA from 1 species
UAAAAUUGGUCCACGCACAUU